AGAGUUUGAUCCUGGCUCAGGAUGAACGCUGGCGGCGUGCCUAACACAUGCAAGUCGAACGGAAUUUACAUGAAGCCUAGCGAUUGUAAAUUUAGUGGCGGACGGGUGAGUAACGCGUGGGUAACCUGCCUUGUACUGGGGGACAACAGUUGGAAACGACUGCUAAUACCGCAUAAGCGCACAGCUUCGCAUGAAGCAGUGUGAAAAACUCCGGUGGUACAAGAUGGACCCGCGUCUGAUUAGCUGGUUGGUGAGGUAACGGCCCACCAAGGCGACGAUCAGUAGCCGGCCUGAGAGGGUGAACGGCCACAUUGGGACUGAGACACGGCCCAAACUCCUACGGGAGGCAGCAGUGGGGAAUAUUGCACAAUGGGGGAAACCCUGAUGCAGCGACGCCGCGUGAGUGAAGAAGUAUUUCGGUAUGUAAAGCUCUAUCAGCAGGGAAGAAAAUGACGGUACCUGACUAAGAAGCCCCGGCUAACUACGUGCCAGCAGCCGCGGUAAUACGUAGGGGGCAAGCGUUGUCCGGAAUAAUUGGGCGUAAAGGGCGCGUAGGCGGCUCGGUAAGUCUGGAGUGAAAGUCCUGCUUUUAAGGUGGGAAUUGCUUUGGAUACUGUCGGGCUUGAGUGCAGGAGAGGUUAGUGGAAUUCCCAGUGUAGCGGUGAAAUGCGUAGAGAUUGGGAGGAACACCAGUGGCGAAGGCGACUAACUGGACUGUAACUGACGCUGAGGCGCGAAAGUGUGGGGAGCAAACAGGAUUAGAUACCCUGGUAGUCCACACUGUAAACGAUGAAUGCUAGGUGUAGGGGGUAUCGACCCCUUCUGUGCCGCAGUCAACACAAUAAGCAUUCCGCCUGGGGAGUACGGCCGCAAGGUUGAAACUCAAAGGAAUUGACGGGGGCCCGCACAAGCAGCGGAGCAUGUGGUUUAAUUCGACGCAACGCGAAGAACCUUACCAGGUCUUGACAUCCACUUAAACUUACAGAGAUGUAAGGUGUGCUUGCACAAAGUGAGACAGGUGGUGCAUGGUUGUCGUCAGCUCGUGUCGUGAGAUGUUGGGUUAA
rnacentral:rRNA from 1 species